rnacentral:rRNA from 1 species
UAGGGAAUCUUCGGCAAUGGGGGGAACCCUGACCGAGCAACGCCGCGUGAGUGAAGAAGGUUUUCGGAUCGUAAAGCCCUGUUGUUAAGGAAGAACGAGUGUGAGAAUGGAAAGUUCAUACUGUGACGGUACUUAACCAGAAAGGGACGGCUAACUACGUGCCAGCAGCCGCGGUAAUACGUAGGUCCCGAGCGUUGUCCGGAUUUAUUGGGCGUAAAGCGAGCGCAGGCGGUUAGAUAAGUCUGAAGUUAAAGGCAGUGGCUCAACCAUUGUAGGCUUUGGAAACUGUUUAACUUGAGUGCAGAAGAGGAGAGUGGAAUUCCAUGUGUAGCGGUAAAAUGAGUAGAUAUAUGGAGGAACUCCGGUGGCGAAAGCGGCUCUCUGGUCUGUAACUGUCGCUGAGGCUCGAAAGCGUGGGGAGCGAACAGG